rnacentral:lncRNA from 1 species
CAAGAGCGUACAAAAGAAAAAAAUUUAGAUCGCACAACUGAUCACUAAUAAAAAAAGAAAAACAAAUGUACAACUAAGAGAACUAAAAAGCACCAUUAAACAAGAACAUCACUGGAAAAAAUUAAUCAACUAAAACUUUAUCCCCAUAGGGUUCGAGCUAGAUCUCAAAUCGACAUAAUCACCAUCAAUAGAUUAUAAUUCAUUCAAAGAACCUCCCAAAACCACAUA